CACAUGAUCUGAGUUCAAACCGGCGUGAGCCAGGUCGGUUUCUAUCUUUAUUUAAGUUAAAUAUUUUAGUACGAAAGGACCAAAUAUUUGAUAUAUUUAUAUUUAAAUUUUG
rnacentral:rRNA from 1 species